rnacentral:rRNA from 1 species
CUUGCUUCUCUUGAGAGCGGCGGACGGGUGAGUAAUGCCUAGGAAUCUGCCUGGUAGUGGGGGAUAACGUUCGGAAACGGACGCUAAUACCGCAUACGUCCUACGGGAGAAAGCAGGGGACCUUCGGGCCUUGCGCUAUCAGAUGAGCCUAGGUCGGAUUAGCUAGUUGGUGGGGUAAUGGCUCACCAAGGCGACGAUCCGUAACUGGUCUGAGAGGAUGAUCAGUCACACUGGAACUGAGACACGGUCCAGACUCCUACGGGAGGCAGCAGUGGGGAAUAUUGGACAAUGGGCGAAAGCCUGAUCCAGCCAGGCGGCGUGUGUGAAGAAGGUCUUCGGAUUGUAAAGCACUUUAAGUUGGGAGGAAGGGUUGUAGAUUAAUACUCUGCAAUUUUGACGUUACCGACAGAAUAAGCACCGGCUAACUCUGUGCCAGCAGCCGCGGUAAUACAGAGGGUGCAAGCGUUAAUCGGAAUUACUGGGCGUAAAGCGCGCGUAGGUGGUUUGUUAAGUUGGAUGUGAAAUCCCCGGGCUCAACCUGGGAACUGCAUUCAAAACUGACUGACUAGAGUAUGGUAGAGGGUGGUGGAAUUUCCUGUGUAGCGGUGAAAUGCGUAGAUAUAGGAAGGAACACCAGUGGCGAAGGCGACCACCUGGACUAAUACUGACACUGAGUGCGAAAGCGUGGGGAGCAAACAGGAUUAGAUACCCUGGUAGUCCACGCCGUAACGAUGUCAACUAGCCGUUGGAAGCCUUGAGCUUUU